CUGAUCUUACUCUGCUCUACCUGUACUGCAGUAACCAGGUGUAACAGUACUACAGUAACCAGGUGUACUACAGUAACCAGGUGUAACAGUACUGCAGUAACCAGGUGUAACAGUACUACAGUAACCAGGUGAGUAACCAGGUGAGUAACCAGGUGUACUACAGUAACCAGGUGUAACAGUACUACAGUAACCAGGUGUAACAGUACUGCAGUAACCAGGUGUAACAGUACUGCAGUAACCAGGUGAGUAACCAGGUGAGUAACCAGGUGUACUACAGUAACCAGGUGUAACAGUACUGCAGUAACCAGGUGUAACAGUACUACAGUAACCAGGUGUAACAGUACUGCAGUAACCAGGUGUAACAGUACUACAGUAACCAGGUGAGUAACCAGGUGAGUAACCAGGUGUAUUGCAGUAACCA